AUGCUUUUUUGGGACCAGGGUGUUACCCCUCGCUUCCGCCUGCUGCAUUCCCUGUUCGCUGAGGCCUUGCAGCGGGUCAUUCCUCCAAAUAUCACACUGUAUCCUCUCUGGGAGGAACUGGAGGUAGGAUCGAAGGUGGGAAUCCUCUGCAUCCUGAGUGGGUUCUACCCUGACAGGCUGAGUGUGGAGUGGCUGCUGGAUGACAAGACUGUGACCACAUCUCCAGUCCAGCGGAAGCUGCAGAGUGUAGAAGGUGAGGAGAACACAUUCAGCCUGAACAGCCAGCUGGAGCUGGACCGGAGCCAAUGGACUCAAGGGUCAGAGGUCACAUGCAAGGCCAUCCACAAUGCAGCACAAGGACCACCUACAGGAACACCAGUCUCCAGGACCACCAGUAUUUGCUCAGCUUUUCCCUCGUCUACUCCAUCCAUCCACCUGGAGACCCCCAGAUUCAGGACAGUGAUGACACAGACUGAGGUAACAGCUACAUGUGUGGUCCACUCUGCGUAUGACGCCAAAGUGUCCUGGCUUCUGGAUGGAAAACACCCAACCAGUAGGACCCCAGUGAACCAGGCCAGCAGGACAACUCAGAGCAUCAGCAGUAACCUGACUCUUCCCUCAAGCCAAUGGAAAACCCUGAACACAAUAACAUGCAGAGCUGAACAUCGCUGCUUCAACUCCACAGAGAAGACGAGUAAUGUUAAAGGUUAGAAUGGAACUUUGUGAUCAUAUUUGUAUUUUACAGGCUCUAACAAACAGUGCAACAAAAUGUA